CUACGAGGGGCAGCAGUGAGGAAUAUUGCACAAUGGGGGGAACCCUGAUGCAGCAACGCCGCGUGGAGGAUGACGCAUUUCGGUGUGUAAACUCCUUUUAUAUGUCAAGAAAAUGACGGUAGCAUAUGAAUAAGCACCGGCUAACUCCGUGCCAGCGAGCCGCGGUAAUACGGAGGGUGCAAGCGUUACUCGGAAUCACUGGGCGUAAAGGACGCGUAGGCGGGUUGGAAAGUCAGGUGUGAAAUCCUACAGCUUAACUGUAGAACUGCACUUGAAACUUCUAAUCUAGAGUAUGGGAGGGGGAGAUGGAAUUAGUGGUGUAGGGGUAAAAUCCGUAGAUAUCACUAGGAAUACCUAAAGCGAAGGCGAUCUCCUGGAACAUUACUGACGCUAAGGCGUGAAAGCGUGGGGAGCAAACAGGAUUAGAUACCCCAGUAGUC
rnacentral:rRNA from 1 species